CCUAUCUUUUCGCGAACGCAGGAACUGGGCGACAGAAGGGGCUGGCGGUGGCGGCAGGCCUCGAGGCUGAGCCCUAGACAGCUAGACGCAUGGCCGGCGCUCCCGGGCAGUCUACUAGUCCGGUCGUCCAAUCAGCCCUUCUUCAUCUCUUCCGGCUUGGCUUCAGCUUCUUUCGAGCUUUUUCAGAAAUGACGAUUAUCAAGAAUAAAGUCGGAGCAAGAUCAAUAUUGAAUGGCUCAACGACUAGAUGAUAUGUUACACCAGGCGGGAGUUAUUCAAGUUAGUUGAUGAUAAGGACAUUAUUCGAAAAUUUACUGCAAUGAGGACUCGAAAAGGGCAUUUGCCUCGUGAUUUUCUUUAGUGCACUGUCAUGCCUUUUAGGACUUUGACAACAUCGCGAGUUUACCUCUAUGCAACACUGGUUAUACGUCUUUCUUUUGGAAAAAAUAAACAAACGAGAGAUGCUUUUGACUGUGGUGGAUGAAAUUUCGCAAUGACAUCCGGUGGCAUCUGGUAUGGAUAGAUUUACUUUUGUUGGCAACAUGGCGAGUUUGCCUCUAUGCAAGUCUACUUAUAUAUCUUGUGUUGUCAAGUCUCAACUUUAUUUGGUCCAUCAAAGGGAUAUUGAUAUAUUAUAUAUUCGUUCACCUUAAAAUUAAAAUUUGUGGGAUUAAUAUUGUUAUGUUUUCACUUGAUUACUAAUUUGAAUUUGUGGUUCAAAAGUUCGGUGCUAUAUUGUAUGUUGUGUAUUUAAAUACCCGGAUUUUGAUUUCUAGAUUAUACACUUAGGAUCAACUUGCCCAGGCUCCACAAAAGUUCUGUCUCCGCCACUGGCGCCGAGCACCAUUAUUCACUGAUAGAUGGGGUCAUACACAUGGAUAGGCCGUGUCUCUGUGACUUGGCAGUGAUAUUACCUUCGAAAACAUAUAUCACCGGAUGCAUAGAGUUGUACUAGAGUGUGA